ACGAACGCUGGCGGCGUGGAUAAGACAUGCAAGUCGAACGAGAUAUUGAUUGUAGCAAUAUGAUUGAUGUCUAGUGGCGCAAGGGUGCGUAACACGUGGGCAAUCUGCCGAGAAGUGGGGGAUAGCUCGCCGAAAGGCGAAUUAAUACCGCAUGUGGUUAAGGACGACAUCUUCCUGACACCAAAGCCGGGGCAACCUGGCGCUUCUUGACGAGCCCGCGGCCUAUCAGCUAGUUGGUGAGGUAACGGCUCACCAAGGCGAUGACGGGUAGCUGGUCUGAGAGGACGACCAGCACACUGGAACUGAGACACGGUCCAGACACCUACGGGUGGCAGCAGUCGAGAAUUUUUAUCAAUGGGGGAAACCCUGAGCGAGCGACGCCGCGUGGAGGAUGAAGGUCUUCGGAUUGUAAACUCCUGUCAUUUGGGAACAAUGCCUGUAUUAACGUUACACUGCGUGGAAUUGAUAGUACCAGAAGAGGAAGAGACGGCUAACUCUGUGCCAGCAGCCGCGGUAAUACAGAGGUCUCAAGCGUUGUUCGGAUUCAUUGGGCGUAAAGGGUGCGUAGGUGGCGGCGCUAGUCAGGUGUGAAAUCUCGGAGCUUAACUCCGACACUGCACUUCGAUACUGCUUGCUCGAGUACUGGAGAGGAGACUGGAAUUCAUGGUGUAGUAGUGAAAUGCGUAGAUAUCGUAAGGAAGACUAGUGGCGAAGGCGAAUCUCUGGACAGUUCCUGACACUGAGGCACGAAGGCCAGGGGAGCAAACGGGAUUAGAUACCCCGGUAGUCCUGGCAGUAAACGGUGCAGCGUUUGGUGUGGGAGGAUUCGACCCCUUCUGCUGCCGGAGCUAACGCGUUAAACGUGCCGCCUGGGGAGUACGGUCGCAAGAUUAAAACUCAAAGAAAUUGACGGGGGCCCGCACAAGCGGUGGAGUAUGUGGCUUAAUUCGAUGCAACGCGGAGAACCUUACCUGGCCUUGACAUGCAUCUCUAAACCGGUGAAAGCCGGCGAGUCUCGAAAGAGACAAUUUGCACAGGUGCUGCAUGGCUGUCGUCAGCUCGUGUCGUGAGAUGUUGGGUUAAGUCCCGCAACGAGCGCAACCCCUGUGAACUGUUGCCACGGAACCGAGAGGUUCCAGCACUCUGUUCAGACUGCCCCUUUUCAAAGGGGAGGAAGGUGGGGACGACGUCAAGUCAGUAUGGCCCUUACGGCCAGGGCUGCACACGUACUACAAUGCUCAGUACAGAACGAUCCGAGACCGCGAGGUGGAGGAAAUCCAGUAAAACUGAGCCCAGUUCGGAUUGGAGUCUGCAACUCGACUCCAUGAAGCCGGAAUCGCUAGUAAUGCCGUAUCAGCUACGACGGCGUGAAUACGUUCCCGGGCCUUGUACACACCGCCCGUCACAUCAUGGAAGUUGCUUGUAGCCGAAGCCGGUGCGCUAACCCGCAAGGGAUGCAGCCGCCUACGCUAUGAGCAGUAACUGGGAUG
rnacentral:rRNA from 1 species